GACGGGACCCCGCACAAGCGGUGGAUCAUGUUGUUUAAUUCGAUGAUACGCGAAGAACCUUACCAGGUCUUGACAUCCCCCGCGAUGCUUUAGAGAUAAAGCGGAGGUAUUCGGGGAGACAGGUGGUGCAUGGUUGUCGUCAGCUCGUGUCGUGAGAUGUUGGGUUAAGUCCCGCAACGAGCGCAACCCCUAUUGCUAGUUACCAUCAUUAAGUUGGGGACUCUAGCGAGACUGCCAGUGAUAAACUGGAGGAAGGUGGGGAUGACGUCAAAUCGUCAUGCCCCUUAUGACCUGGGCUACAAACGUGAUACAAUGGCUGGAACAAAGGGAUGCGAAGCAGUGAUGUGGAGCGAAACCCAUAAAAACAGUCUCAGUUCGGAUUGAAGUCUGCAACUCGACUUCAUGAAGUCGGAAUCGCUAGUAAUCGCGGAUCAGAACGCCGCGGUGAAUACGUUCUCGGGGUUU
rnacentral:rRNA from 1 species